rnacentral:rRNA from 1 species
UUGGGGAAAAGCCCCGCGUUAGUGUGCCGCUGUGCUGACCGUACCGUAAACCGACACAGGUGGGUGGGGAGAACAUCCCAAGGCGCACGAGAGAACUCGGGUUAAGGAACUCUCGCAAAAUGACACCGUAACUUCGGGAGAAGGUGUGCCUUUGUUGGUGAAGCGCGAACGCGUGGAGCUGACGGAGGUUGCAGAGAAUCGGGGGUAGCGACUGUUUACCAAAAACACAGGACUCUGCGAAGUCGCAAGACGAGGUAUAGGGUCUGACGCCUGCCCGGUGCCGGAAGGUUAACAGGAGAUGUCCGUCGCAAGACAAAGCAUCGAAUCGAAGCCCCGGUAAACGGCGGCCGUAACAAUAACGGUCCUAAGGUAGCGAAAUUCCUUGGCGGGUAAGUUCCGUCCUGCACGAAUGGCGUAACGACUUCCCCACUGUCUCAACCCGGGACUCGGCGAAAUUGAAAUCGGGGUGAGGAUGCCCUGUACCCGCGGCAAGACGGAAAGACCCCGUGAACCUUUACUGCAGCUUGGCACUGAGUUUUGGGCUUGUCUGUGUAGGAUAGGUGGGAGGCAUUGAAGUCGGGGCGCUAGUCUCGAUGGAGCCAACGUUGAAAUACCACCCUGAUGAGUCUGAAAUUCUAACCGAGGCCAGUUACCCUGGCCCGGGACACUGCCUGGUGGGUAGUUUGACUGGGGCGGUCACCUCCGAAAGAGUAACGGAGGCGCGCAAAGGUUCCCUCAGGCUGAUUGGAAACCAGCCGUAGUAGUGUAAAAGCAUAAGGGAGCUUGACUGCAACUCAUACAAGAGGAGCAGGAACGAAAGUUGGCUUUAGUGAUCCGGUGGUUCCGCAUGGAAGGGCCAUCGCUCAACGGAUAAAAGGUACUCCGGGGAUAACAGGCUGAUCUCCCCCAAGAGUUCACAUCGACGGGGAGGUUUGGCACCUCGAUGUCGGCUCAUCGCAUCCUGGGCUGAAUUAGGUCCCAAGGGUUUGGCUGUUCGCCAAUUAAAGCGGUACGCGAGCUGGGUUCAGAACGUCGUGAGACAGUUCGGUCCCUAUCUGCCGUGGGCGUAGGAAGUUUGAAGAGGAGCUGUCCCUAGUACGAGAGGACCGGGAUGGACGAACCCCUGGUGUUUCGGUUGUCGCGCCAGCGGCAUAGCCGAGUAGCCAAGUUCGGAAGGGAUAACCGCUGAAAGCAUCUAAGCGGGAAGCCCCCCUCAAGACGAGACUUCCCUGAAGGCACGUUGUAGACGACGACGUUGAUAGGCUGGGUGUGGAAGUGCGGCAACGCACGGAGCUGACCAGUACUAAUGAGCCGUUCGGCUUGGCU